GCAGGGGUCGGCAAGUAAGUUUGGCAUCGGGCCAAAAAAAAAUUUCGCCACUAGAUGGCGGGCCAGAACAUAUGGGUACAGUGGUG